CACCCGAUCACGCGGGCGAGGGUGAUGCCCGACCGUCGACCGGACCGGACCAACUACGGUUAACUUGCAGGGACUCAACUUUACCAGUCUUCACGGUGCGAUGGCGUCCAUUCCGGGACUGCAAAACGUUCAGGUUCAAAUUGCCGGACUUCCACAGCCGAUUUCUCAGACUCUUUCGUCUACGCCGUCAGGAACGACAACCGGUCGACUAGCCUACUUAACCAGACGACUAGCCUACUUGUGUCCGUUCCAGUGACCAACACCACACAGGCUGCUGUGAACACCAUCAACGCCGGUGCUAAUAAUACCAUACUGUCUGGUAACUCGCAAACGACACAAACGGUCGUUUUGACGAAUCCACAAACAAGUGGCUCCAGUCUACUCACUCUACCUACUGGUAGGUUUUUGGCCUUUGAAGGAAUGCGCUUGGCAAACUCUUUCGUAUAUUCCAUCUUCGCUUUGACGAACCGGUGGACCACUAACGGUGAAUGCUGGUCAACCGGGUCAACAGAUACAGCUACUGAACAUCAGUCAACGGCCUAGGGCGGGCACACCGAUUUCCGGUUCACAUCACGGCGGCCAAUGUUACUUCAAACACCACACCGAAUCAGCUCCUCAUGGCUACGAAGCAGCUACAAUUGAAGAUUCAACAACAGCAACACCAUCAUCAGUUGCAAUAACAGCAGCAAAUUAUAACCGGAAGCAGUAACCAAUCAACGGUUGGCGGAAAUAAUACCACGCAAAUCCACAUCCAGCCGCGGCCAC